CGGCUGUCGCCAUAAUGCAAUAUGGCAGAUUUAAAUCAUUUAUCAUUCCUUGAGUUUAGGACUUGGCCUUUUUCUCCAAGUUCAGAUCACAAUUAAAAUUUAGAAAAGUAAAUACUCAGAAUAAGCAAAAAGAGAAAGCGGAAAGCCACCAACCAAAUUCAUUUUAACAUUGUGCACAAUUUAACUGAAAACUGCAGAGGACAACAAUCCAAUAAGAAAAGAUAACAAAUCUAUUCGAUCAUAUCAAACUAAGCAUAUCUUUUCCUUCCACCUAAUAUAUUGAGAAUGCUUAGAAUGUGUAUAAAUAGAUGACAUCCAUCUUCACUUUUACAAUCUUGAGGCACUUGGAACAUUCAGCAACAUGAAUGUGCACUUGUUAGGCUGCUUUGCCUGCACAUAAAACAACCUAAGAUUUUAGACCAAGUUACAUGUUUUUGUUCGUAUAAUUAAGGGUAUCCCCUCAUCCCGUGGAUAAAGAAGUAUGUGUGGUUGUCCUCUCAACAACCGCUGCUCAGAGAAAUCGAUUUUUUUUACCUUUUAGUUAUUUUGGGAUGCAAUAGAGUCUUACAUCACUAAACCAAGUUAUUUAACUCUAAUAAAAUUGUUUUUUGAUAGACAAUAAGAAAGAUGCAAACCUUGAAUGAAGACAUUUAGGAAGUGAAGAAAGAUCCACUCUUGAUAGCAUCUUCAUUAGCAUUACCAAGAGCAGCCUCAUUCAAGUACUUGUCUGCCAAUUGGACUCUCUUCACAUUGUCUUGUUCUUGGACAAGCAUGUUACCAUAUCCCAAGAGAGUCUCCAGUGUCAUCUUUGGCUGGUCAAAAGUUGGAGGUCCUUCCUUUGAGUUCACUAGCCUCUUCCCAAUGCCUUCAACACCAACACCACCAAUCCACUUCCUCACUUCAUCAUCAUAUACUCUAGCCCUCAGUGCACCGAAGAAAUCUGCAUAGGUAAAUGAAAUGGAAUAUCAUUAGUCCCUCUUAUUGUUCUAGUAUUCGUAGAGAUAAUUCAAUUCUUAUCGACGCAAUUUAUUGUUAAAAGAUAUAAUAAAGUAAUUCAUGUCACAUCACGCUUAAUCUAACCAGAAAGGAUAUUCUUGUUUAAAAGUAAUUUCAACCCAUAUUAAAAAUGGGCCUAAACCUUAUAUUUCCGGCCCAAAGAGCUCCUUCGUGCAAGAGCCCAUCAAAGAUAUUAUAAAUUUGUCUUCACUUCCUUAAGAUAAUAUUUGAUGUGUUGAUAACAUAUUUUAUAGGUUUCAAACUGUGGAUCGCAUCAUGUGAUGAAAUCACGAUAUUGUGAUUGCAGGAAUUGUUGCAACCGCGUCACAUCUUAAUUGCUAUCACAGAGAUGUGAUCGCAAUAGGCUACAUUGGACCGUAUUUGAGUUGCAUCAGGCCGUAACGUAAUCACAUCGUGUCGCGUCAGACCACACCGAUAUCAAAAUAUUUUUUUACUCACGAAAUAAUUCAUACGGCAAUGGCCGCUAUACGCAUCACUAUGGCUGCAAUCGCAGUAAUCACCACCACAAUUGUGACUGCUACGGUAAUUUAAAAAACCAGAUGGAACAUUUUAAAAUAUCUUGUUCUAUUUCUAGUUGUCUCUUCAAUUGGAACUUCAUGAGCUUAGUACUUACCAAUGGAUUGGCCAGGGAAGGUAUCAACAAUCUUUAUAAUGUCAUCCUGAGCAACAUUGUCGCUACGGAAAAUUCCUAUGCAAACACCAAUACGGUCUUCCCUUGUAGGUGCCCAGUAGAACUUCUCCAUACGCCCAUCACGAAUGAGAGGAGCAUACAAUGUUGAGAAAUCAUUACCAGUGACAAUAAUGGGCACACGAGGGUUGUCUUCCUUGUUGUACAUACCAGGGAGUUGCACAUUUGUGGGGUUAUCAGCAAUGUUCAUCAGAGUAGCAUUAACCAUUUGGUUGUUUACAGUAUAUUGUGUUGUUCCACCCAUACGACCAGCUCCUGCAUCAAGAUCAUUGAUGAAGAGAGCACACAUCUUCCCCUUCCUGAUUAUAUCUGCAGCCUCACGGUAUCUCUGUCUGAUCAGUUUUGCAGGCUCUCCAGCAUUUCCACUUUCUAGCUCUCCAGCACUCAUCAUGAUAGGGCUGUAAUAUAAUUAACACAACACACAAGGAUUAGGACAUGUUUCGCAUAAUAUGUAGCACAUGUACAUGAAUCGUUAUAUAUGUAUAUAAACUGUAACACGAGAAAUAUUAGUUUUAAAACUAUAAUUGUAAUUACAAUGCAGUUGUGAAUCACAAUAUUAAGUCUCCUAUUAUAGUUGCAGAUUAUAAUUUAAAAGUUAUACUUCCAUAUAUCCUUCACUGUGUAUUACCUCAAUUAUUUGGGAUUAUUAUCACUUACGGUAACAGUAUUUUUAAUGUUAUAACUAAGGGGUGGCACAGAAUGAUACACAGCAAGACCAACUAUUUUAAGUUAUGAGAUUCACUAGUUCAAAUCAAAUCAGUUGUAACUACUAGCACAUCAAAAUUUCUAUUGAAACAUAUCAAUUGUUGAGUGUUGGAUUUCUAAGUUAUGAAGUUCACUAAUUCAAAUCUUUGUAGGAGCAUGUUAAUGGAAUUUAUUUAGGAAGGGCAUGUUUCUAGUAUAACGAGAACUCACUUAAUUCCCAACUUGGAAAAGACAAGCUCACAUUGGAAAGAUUUUCCUUGACCUUUGCCUCCCCAGACACCAAGAAUGAGAGGAACCUGUAAAAUUAAUGAAAGUGUUGAAUGUGUCUCUCUAUUAUACUAAAACCCUGAGGAGAGUUUAUGCAUAAACUUUGUAUACAUACCUUGAUGUUGGGUAGGGUCAUGAAAUUCUUGGUGACGUGAACAACAAGCUUGUCCAUAAAGGCAGGGGCAAUGUAAAAGCCAUCCUUAGUGUUGUCCAAGUUGUACCUUAAGCACAUGAUCAUCAGCUUUACUUUGAAAGGAACAUUAUCAAAUUCAUCAUAAUAAAAUCAUACGUUCCAACCAUGUGACUUUUAUGUCAAGUAAAGAGAAAGAUAUUGUUAAAAUUUGCAAGUCCUUUUUAAGAUUAUUGGUCUAUCUCUUUUAUGAUCACGUAAAAAAAGUUACAUGAAAGAUGCAUGUCCAAUUCAAUAAGUCUCACUCACUGGCGAAGCCCGGUGCUGAUGUACUCAUACGAGUUCAUGACUGCGUAGUGAGUACCGGCAUCUUGUGGAGCUUGGAAGAGGGAAUCAACCAUACCCUUUCCCCUGGUGAUGUCUUGCUGAUCAUCUGAAACAUCAUAGGCAAGACCCCUCCAUCUAUCUUGGUCAGUCUGCUUUUUAGGGUCAAUCUCUUCAACAGCAACAACUUUGAAGCUUCCAGAGGAACCCUUUGUGUUUGGGAGUCUUGAGGUAAUCUUCUUCAAGUUGCUGCCAAAGAAGCUUGAGCUAGGAACUGCAGCUCCAGUGCCAUUGAAGUUCAACUGAAAUAUCAGAGUAGGUACUCUUUCACAUUUACAAAACCAAACAUUGAAAAUUUUGAUACUUACGAUUUUUACAUCAAGUUCUUACAAAACACUUUUCAAACACAGAUUUUCUACGUAGUGUCACUGUCAUUUAUACACGUAAAAUUCUAGAUCUUCAAAUUCUAGAACUUCCUUUAUAACAACUCAAAUUAUCCCUAUUUAUCAAUUUUCUUCUUUUAUCUAUACACACAUCUAAAAAACUCAUCCAAAAACCAAAAGACAGCUAAAAAUUAUUACAAGUUGGUUGUUAAAAUAACACUUUUGUUUUGGUUUAUAAGAAUAAGCGUGUAAAACUUCUGUUUAAAAAUAAGAUUUUUUUUCCAUUCCAACAAGUUAGUUGCUAAAACUUUUUUUCUACUGCUAAGGAUAUCUUUUUACUUUUUUUGGUACAGAAUAACUCUUUUGAAUUUGUGGUUUCCCCUCCCAACAAGUAUCGUUCUCAAGAAAAUCAAAACAAUCGACCUUAUGGAUGUGGUGGGACCUUACACCAUUAGACCAACACCUUAUUGGUCAAAACUUUUUAUUAAAGACAUGUAAAUUAAUUUUUGAAAUGAGUAAAAUUAUGUGAAUCAUAUUAAAAAUAACAUCUUUAUUUACUUAAUAACUCUUAACAGAUUCUCUUUUGUUUUGGGUAUUAAUAUAUUGAUUAACAGAAUUAUAGAAACCAAAGGCAAGCUAUAUUGUACAUGCAUACCAAACCACUUGAUAGCAACAUCAUAUUUAAUCUUGAAAAGUAUAUCUUAUAAACACCUAGAGGAACUAUUAUCCAAUGUAUCCAAGUGAAGUUCACCUCAAUAAAGUUAUAGUGAAACUUGUGAAGCAAGAAAGUUGUUCUGAAAAGAGGAAAAAUAAUUCCUCUUUAAUCUCACCACAUGCUAUACUUUACUUCCAUUAUGAAUGUAAAAAUAUUCAGUUACUUAAAACUACAAUUUAAACCACUUGAUUCUUAGUGUGUGAUCAUUGGUAUCUUACCUGUAUGAAUAAACAUGCAUAUCAAAUAAGACUUUAAUGCUAUUUCACUUAUUAUCUCACUUACUAAUCAGAUAAUAACACAAUUAUAAAAAUAAGCAUUAAUUUUACAUUGAUUUUCUAAUCGGACAUUUAAUAUAAGAGUAAUGAUAUAUCAUAUUAUUAAAUCAUUCUAUCUAUAAGAAAGUGACAUAUAUUACUUAUAAACCAAUAAUUAAUAAAUAAAAUAUCAAUUUGUGAUACAUGUUACUUUUCUUAUGAUGUAGGAGAAGAACAGGGAUCAUCUGUCCCAAAAGGACCAUGUCUCCAUGUUCCUGUCCAAUAAAGUAUCAUCAAAUAAUAUAAAAAUAUUAAGUUAUAUUUUUAUAAUUUUUUUCUAAAUAAAAGUACACAUUUUGAUUGGUCCGGGACACCAUUGAGGAUACCAAUAAAGAUAGGAUCUCCCUCCAUCCGCAGAAGAAUAUACCAUUAUUUUGAGUAAUAUAAACAAAUCUGAUUUUGCUAAAAAGAUAUAGUUAAAAUGAAGGUAGCAACUAAAUAAGUGGCUAAGUCUAACAAAGUGAGAAAAGCAUCAUACUGGAGUUCUGUUGACAGCUCCAAUAGUUGAUAGAGAGGCAGCCAUGACUCUUCUUGCAAGAGAGUUGAAUACUAGAAUAGUCACACUUCAAGCACAAUGCAAUAAACCUCUUCAGGGAAGCAUAAAUGACCAGAGCAUAGGACUUAUAGUAGUUGCUAUGUAGAGUGCACACAAAUUCAUAUCCUAAUUGAUUGGUAGAAUCAUUAACGUCCACACAAUCAUGAUUGGUUGUUUAACACGUGGCAUGCAUAUGGUGACUUCAAUUUAUCAGUCACUCUUAGUCCGAUGCAAUGAGGAUGGAAUUGUAGCACUUUCCUGCUCCACCGAUUAUGGAGAGUUUAUUACCACACAAGCUUAGCAAGACUCAUCUCAUCUUAUUCUACUUGGACAGAAUUAGUUAUUGUUUUUUCAUAACAAAAAAGAAUAGAUGAGAACCAACUAAAACAAUUAAUAACAUAGAGAAAUAUUGUAACACAUCUAAUUAUUCGUUAUUUAUAUUUAAUUAUCAUGUUUUAAAUGUAAGUAAUAUAAAUAAAUGAUAGAUAAUGUAUUAGAUAUAUAUAAAUUUUUAUAAUCACAAUGCAUAAAUGUUAUACUCUUAAAAAUAAUAAUAUUCGUAAGGGUCGGUUACACUUAUAUUUGAGGUGUUGUUUAAUUUUCCAUAUAUAUAUAUAUAGUAGUAUAUCUUAAGUUGGAGAUUAAAACACUAGAAAACUUUACACACAUCAAUUAUUAUUAGAGUGGAUUUAAACAUUAAGACUUGAUUCAAAAUAGUAAGAUAUUAGGUUUCUAUGUUUGUUGGGAUAUGUAAUAUACCUUAAAUGGAUUACUUAUAUUUUUUUUUGUAAUACUUGUAUAAUUUUCAUUGGAAUAUACCACCUAAAAUAAAUAUUAUUAUUCUAUCUUAGUGGCACGACCGGUCAACAUCGAUUACCCACUAGUAAUAAGAUAUGUAAUUGGGAAAGUAAGAUUGGAUUCACAUGAAUGUUGAUCAUGCCUGAAGGCAGACCUAACUAGUGAAAAAGACGAUAACAACAACACAUGACCAAAUGAACACCUGCAAAGUAGACAAACAUUUUUGUUUUCCUUUCAAGGUAGCGCUACAUGAGAGUAGUACAAGUUCACAUUGUUCAUGCAACAUAGGUAAAACAAAUAUACAACAUUUUCAAUUUGAGCAAGGAUAAAGCAAUAUCGAUGAAAACACAUAUCUUAAAGUGUAUGACACCCUACCUCCCUACAAAUAGAAGAAACCAUCCAUAACGGAGACAUGCUAAAACUUACUUUCACCCUACUUUCUAUCUCUAAAGCAUACACUUAUACUAACUUGAUUAUUGAAGUCCAUUUUUAAGUACCCAUCCAACACGAUCCAUGGUUGGCUCUUUGCUCGGAUUUAAUAGGUAGAUCCACUUUCCAACUAACCUUUUCCACUCCAAAGAAAAUUGGCGCCAUUUAUGACUUGCAUGCACGAUUUUGACCACCAAAAACCAACUUUCCCCACAACCAUGUUAAUGGAGCAAAAACCAAUAUCUCUCCUCAUUGCAACAUUCUGCCAUUUAACCCUUAAUUUGAGAUCCAACCUUCAAAUUAGGCCAGUAGAACACACAACACCACUGCUUGUCGAACUCCACCCGCAAUCGAAUAACUUCUUGCAAUGAUUGAACACUAAGGAAAGCUCAUUCAAUAACAAGCACAUAUGCUAUUUGAACUCUGCCAGUCAAGGACAUGCAAAAUAUACCUCAAUUAUAGCCCCUAUAUGCCAAAAAAUCAAACCCAGUAUGCAUAGGAAUGAUGGACCUCGAGAUCAGAGACGUUACCCACCAAAAAGCAAACACCAGAACCACAUAUCACAUGCACGACAAAACACCCUUUUACAGUUGGAAUCAUGGCACUCAGACUUCCAUCACAUCUUAUUUGCCCUACAAACGUAGAACAAUAAGAUAGGACAAUAGACCCUUAAGAUCAUUUAGAUGCGUACGAGGCAUCUAUAUUGUUCCAUAGAGCAUUUGAUCCUAUCGUGUGUCGAGUCUUUCCUCUAAUAGUAAAAUGCAUGGCCUUAUAAUGGUUCACACACCUGGAGGCAAACUCUAAUGGUAGAUGGAUCGACCUGACGGACAAGUUCAACACUAGUUAUAUUGCCAACAAGUGGCAAUUUCGCUCAUCCUACACCUUUUUCGAAAUUCAAUAAGGCCGAAAUGACUCAAUUAGAUAUUACUUAAACCUUUCAACGAGACGACCAUGAAAGUUAGAGGGAUGGACCCGGUUUUCAUAGUGCAUCUAGUGGUCACAAGGCAACAACCAAGACUCUUCAAAAUAGAGCUAGCCAAGGACCAAGCCAAAAGCAUGGACAACCUCCAUGCCUAGACACAUAAGUUCAUAAACAUGAAAGAAACUCAAAAAGCUCAACCAGUGGCAGAAAGAAUGAAACUAAAAGUUGGAAGGGAUCACAGGCGGGGCCCACCUGUAGAGGCAAAACAAGGACCUAAAAAUUCAAAAUAUGGUGUCUGCGCCCCUUGAACACUAUUUGCUCAAAAAUCUUGCGAGAGGAAAUGUUAGGCAACUUGUUUGGGGUACAAAGUACCAUCCUAAUUAAGAUGUAGGGGUAAAGAGAUUGGACAAAGUAUUAUGACUUCCAUAAUAGCAUCGACCAUACAACAGAAGAAUGCAUGCACACAACUUUAGGACAUAGUAAAAGAUUUUAUGUAGCAUAAUACAGUAAGACAAUGUGUAGUCAAACAAAUAAUAACUCACGUAAGAGGAUUUCAUCGCCUAGAUGGUCACUAUGACGAUGAACCCCUCAUAUGAAACACCCUCUCAUCGCCACUAACAAUGACGUUCACCACAAGCAUAAGGAAGAUUUGAUAUCGUCUAGACUGUCAAAGGACAUGUAGCCUAACUAAUAUCAAAACCACUAUGGGAGGAUUCAAAGUAAGGGGAACCUCUAGAUUCUAUUAGAAAUGAUAUAUCCAAGAAAAAAUGUAGGUAGCAGUUUGUCACAGCCAUCACCCAACCAUGUCAAACAGACAAUCACCAUUCAUCUCUUUCGACAACAAAGACUAUGAAAGUGUCAUCUGAGACACGAUGAUCCUCUAGUGGUGAUCAGUCAACUUGACAAGAUAAAGCUCUAGAGGCUUUUCAUUGGUAAAGGAUGCUCGAUGGACAUAAUGUUUCAAGACCUACUUGAGAAAUGAGAGUUGAGCAAUAGGGAUGUGCUACCAUAUAAGGGUCAAUUCAUCGAGUUCACCAGCGAGGGUAUCACCCCAAAAGCUAUGUUGAAGUCCGGCAAACCAUGGGUCUCUGGUCAUUGUCCAGAACAAUCAAGACCAAGUUCUUGGUUAUUGAUCAUAAGUCUGUUUACAAAUGCUAUAAUAGGCCGCCUAACCCUGAAUUCCCUAGAGGUCAAUAUAUCCACCCCACACUUAGCCAUGAAGAUUAAGUCAAGCAAUUAUUGACACAUUUCUCUAAUAACUAGAGACCAUAGGUCACCACCAUAGGAUAAGCUAAGAACCUCACCACAUUAUCGCUAUAAGAGCUUCUUAGAUCCAUCAAAGUUCACGAACUAUAGCUAAAUGGGAAAUAAAGUGCAAUAAAAACUAGGUCCAUUUCCUUCAAGUCAAUGAAAACAUAUUCCCUCAAUGGCUUUUGAGGUUAGAGGAAUUUUUAGAUGAAGUUUAAUCUUCAGAAAGUGAUUUAAGGAAGAUCCAAAGUAUAUGGUAGAAAAAAGGUGAUUUGUAGAGGAAGUAGUUCAAUCGGAAACUUGGAAACCAAAUAUUUGACUUCAGGGAUAAAAAUGUCGGCUUGGUUGGAAUGCAACAAGUCUGGUCACUUUAAAGCUAAUUGUCUUGAGAUAAAGGAUAAAUAGAACAAAAGCUUCAAAAAGAAGAAACUCUUAAUGGUCACAUGCAAGCGAAGAUGAAGAGGAAGCCAACAUAUGUUUCAUGGUUGGAGGUACCAAAACUUAACCUAUCUAAUCUUAAAAUAAUUUUGAUGAACUGUUGUAUAACUCAUUCAUUCUAUCACAUGAAUAUAAUUUUAUAAAUCAUACAUUCAUGAAUUUAACAAAAAUCUUGGGAGUGUGUGCACGGAAAACAAAGAUUUGAUACAUUAGAAUAAUGAGCUUAAUAAAGAAAACAUUUAUCUCACAAACAAAAUAAAAAUUGAUCCCAAGGACUCUUGUGAAGCUCCAAAGUUUAACAAGAAAUUAAAUAUCUGAAAGAAACUUUGUCUAAAUUUUUUGGAGGCUCAGAAAAGCUCGGGUAUGAUCUUGUAAAACAUAAAGAAUCUCUCAAUAAGCUAACUAUAUGCUUAUAAUAAAGCUCCUAAGAGCUUGCAUCAACAUCAUGAGACCAAGUUUGACCUAUCCAACACCUUUUGUCAAGUGUGUGAGAAUGUUCACAUCCACGAGAUGUAUACAUCAUAAAAAAAUUAGUAUACUUAUUUACAUAUUUCUAACUUUUUAUUUAAUUCUUCAUUUGAAUCUCCAACUAGAAUGAUUGUUGAUUAUAACACACACACGAUGUGCAAAGAGAAAAGAAAGAAAGAAUGAAUGAAUGAAUAUACCUCUAUGUAUAUUGAAUGAAUAUGAGAGAACAAUGAUGCACUUUUUCAUAGAGUGAUUAUGCACUAUUUAUAUCUUUGAGCCAAAUAACUACAUUCUAAAAGUAGCAUAUCUAACUAAACUAAUAAAACAGUCUGAUUAAUUGAUUAACCAUACUCAUUAAUCAACUAACGAUUCUAGUAGGGAGAACAAUUGAUUCAACACCUUCCCUUAAUUCAAACUAGGUUGACUAAUAACUUCAAGCUUAUGCCUUAGUUCUUCAAACCUUCCAUUCUUCAAUGGUUUGGUAAGCACAUAUGCCAAUUGGUUUUCUGAUUUGCAGAAUUCCAAUCUCAGUUUAUCUUUGCUGACUUGGUCUCUUAUAUAAUGAAACCUUGUUUCUAUAUGCUUACUCCUACCAUGAGUCACUAGAUUCAAUGCUAGAUUGAUUGCAGAUUUGUUAUCAAUCAUUAGAAAUAUCUUCUAACAAGGCCUCCAACCACACAGCUUGACAAGAACACAUGCAAGCUACUAUAUACUCAGCUUCACAUGAAAUUAAGGCUACUACAUCUUACUUCUUGGAACACUAAAUAAUAGGAGCAUCACCAUAGAAAAAUAGGUAGCCUAUUGUGGUUUUCCUAUCCACUUUAUCUCCACACCAAUCUAUGUAACACCGCGAAUUUUACGAUUUUGAAUUAUAAGGUUUUAUUAAUAUUUUUAGUUAUUGUAUUUUUGAAAAUGAAUUUCUGGGAAUUUUUGGUAAAGAAUUAGACGAAACUCUAGUUGAGUUUUAGUCUCGAAAUUCUAUUUUCAAUUUGGUGGUAAAUUUUCAUGAUUUUCGGAAACAGUCGGUUUCGGGCCACUUUCAGGGCCGAAUCUCACCGGGUAUGGCUCAAAAAGUGGUUUUUGAGUUCCGUAACUCGGAAUCGAAUUCCGAUUGCGCCGUUGGGUUCGUAAUUUCAUUUCGAGUCAGUAUAGAACCUGAGUACACUCAUACCUAUUUUCUAAAUAUUUUUCACUCGGAAUGCCGAAAUCCGAAAUUCUAAUCGAAUAUUAAGAUCGGACGAUUUAUAAUACCCGAUCGAGUAGUAGCCGAUAAUACUCGGACAUGUUUAUCAACAUGUCCACGAGGUGAUCAUUUCUCAUUGGGAUGCGAGAUUUGACUUCCAUAAAGCAAAUCUCACAUCACUUUCACCAAUAUCCCAUGAGCUCAUCAUUAGCCACCCUAGGAGAUUUGUCAUGAGUGCCUAUAGGGAAAUCUGAUUUCCCUCUCUCUUUAAAUCCUCACACUCCACAUUCCACUCUCUCACUUUUGCAUUUUCAAAGAAGAGGUAAAUCCUCUCUUCACCGUUUCUCUCAUUUCUCAUUGCUUCUUCCAUCUUCAAUCCUUGAUCUCUCAACAUUCAACCAAUGGAUGUUGACGAGACUUAAGUAUGUUGUUCAUAAACAUGUGAAGAACAUAUUCAACCGUUGAAAUUUUCUAAAACUCUUUCUAACUCAUUUUCUCCUCAAAACCGAAAAUGGUGAUGUUCUUGAACUUAUGAAAAUAUUUUGUUGAAACCAUGAACAACUUGUGUUCAUGGAGUUGUUAUAAUAUUUUAUUACAUGUAUUUGAUUGUUUUAGCCAAAGGGAAUGAUGAUGAAAAUCAAAGGAACCUUUAGGAAGUGUUUUGGAAAAAUAAGAAUGUAUGUAUUUCUAUUUGUUUUUACCCUUAAACCAUGGCUUGGAACAAGUUGGAAAAAUAGAAAUCUUUGUUAAAAAUGAUGUUGAGGUUUAUGAGUACAUGAAGGUCUCAUGAAACUCUUAAAUGAUACUUUGUAUAACUUACUUUAAAGUGGUAAGAUUAUCAAAGAAUGUCUUAAAUCAGAAUAUGGAGUUUUAAAAUCUUAAAUCGGAAUACGUAGUUUUGCUAAAGAACCAUACCUUUAAAAUGAAUGGAAAUCGUGAACGGACUUUCGAUGAAAAAAGAUGGUCAAGAACAUGUGAUGUUGGAAUGGAUGGAUGAAAAGGAUGUAUGACCACGAUGGGAAAAAGAGAAAUGAUUUUAAGUAUUUAGUAACGAUUUUAGAAAUAUCGGAAACUAACGGAUUUUUAUUGUGGUAGUUACGAAGAUUUCGGUGUUCGAACCUUGAAACCAAACCACCCUUAGUUGAUGAGUUAAAGCACGUUUCAUUAAGGUGGGAGAGAAUACAUCGUGACAUAGUGGUGUCCGAAUAUGACACCCGGAUCUCCUAAACCAUCUCAAAAGUUUUGGAGUUAACUUGGGUGUUAAGAAACCUAAGAUUUUUAUGUUUGAAUGCUUUUGAAUGUAUAUGAUGGUUGAUGAAAUGUGUUGGAUAUUAUAUAUGAAUGUUGUUGGAAACUUUUCUGAGUGCAGGUGUGUGCAGGUGUUUGAAAAACCAUGUUUGAAUGUGUUUUCGGUUGUCGAAAAGAGCAAAAUUGGUAUUAUGUCCAAGUUCCUGUCGCUUGGGCGAGCACAGACUCGCUUGGGCGAGGACUGGGCGAGGGGAAGUUUUGGUUCUGGAACUCCCUCGCUCGGGCGACAAAGUUCAGCUUGGGCGAGCAAGCCUCGCCUAGGCGAGUAAGGGCCUCGCAUGGGCGAGAAAGCCCAUGAUUUUAAUGAAUUUCUGGAACUCUCUCGCUUGGGCGAGAGAUGUCUCGCUUGAGCGGGAAGAGGCCUCGCUUAGGUGAGCAAGGGCCUCACUUGGGCGAGAAAGCCCAAGAUUUUUAUGAGUUUCUAGAACUCUCUCGCUUGGGCGAGAGAGGUCUCGCUUGGGCGAGAAGACGCCUCGCUUGGGCGAUAAUACCUUCGCUUGGGCGAGGAAGGAUUAAGUUUACUGGAGAUUGAAAUAAAAUGAGGUUAUGAAUAAUGCGAUGAACCCGGGUAGGGUGUGUUGUGAUAUAAAGGUUAUGGAAUGAGAUCAUGGCUUAGAUGAGAAGCAUGAUUCCACAAAAGUAUGAAAGCAUUGUUUGUGUUUAUGCCUUGUUGGGCAAGUAUCCGACUUGAGGUCGUUGUUAGGUAUCAGUGGCUAAAAUACACCUAGAAUGGGGGGUUGAAUAGGUGUAGCGGUCAGAGUCUGUCCAGGAGUAUUCGGUGAUGGGUUGUUGUGAUUGAGAUGUUACCUUGAGGAUGUACGGUUGACGUACUAUCGGGUCCCACGAGAAGCAUUCGGUUGACGUACUAUCAUACCUAGGAGUAUAUUGGUAAUGUUGAAAAUAAAUGGUAAGUUAUGUAUUACUUCAUGAUGUUUAUGAUAAAUGAUGAAUUAUAUGCUAAAAUAUAUUUUAUGUCUGAGUGUGAUAUUCUGAGUAAGUUCACGCCGUCAAUGAAUUUAUGUUCAUUAGAUAUCUUACUCUCUCUGCUGUAUUGUUCUUGUUUGUAUAUGUUUGCUAUGCAGAUGUCCAACAACAACAGUCACAUUCGAGGUAGUUUACUAUGCAGAUGUCCAACAGCAACAGUCACGUUUGAGGUUAUCACUUCACCAUGUCCCCGAUGGGACAACAGAAUAGUGAUGGAUACAGAUACACAUACACAGGCCACUGCGGUCUGUCGUUGCACAUGAUGUGCAACGGGUCAUCGAUGAUGAUCCCUCAACCUGACGCCUACAUUGACACUUCUUUCACUUUUCCGCCAAGGGGGCUAAGGUCUCUAGAGAAUGGAAUUCGGUACCCGCCAGUCAGGAGUGAUGGCGCUGUUCCCUUCCACGGUCGGAGGACGUGGUCAGAUUGUUUGGGUGUUCCAUCAUCCAGUAGAGCCACGAGGAGCCGGGUUCUUGGAGGAGGUCCCUGCAAGAAGACCAAGGUUUUGAGAAUGUCAUCCCCUCCGAAUUAUGCUGCGGGGUUAUGGCAUAACAAAGUGGAAGAAGAGAAAGAGGAGGACGAGGUCAUUGAACUCGUAAACGUAGAGAGUUCGGUGGAGGUGAUCGACCUCGUGUCUGACUCAGAAGAGGUGGAGGACCCAAGUGAGGGGUCCAACAUUCCUGGAAUCUUCUGAGUCAGCUUGUGGGAUCGUCGAUGUCCCUUUUUGUUUUUGGUAGGGGGCUGUGUUUCUUUUUUAUUUUUGUAUAUGUUAGUGGCGAUGUAGUUUCCGUCUUGUUGACUUAGUUUGUACAAACUAAUUCUGACUUAACCAAGUAUAUGCAUUAUGUUAUUCAGGAAAUUGUGAAUCAGGUUAAGUUAUCAUUCGACAACGAUAAGUUGAUUUUCCGCAUUCGAGUUACUUAAAGUGAUGUCCCGGAAAAGGAAGGUUUUUAAAAAAGGAAACAAUUUUAUAUCACCAAUUCAAAAAACAAAUUACCCAUUUUUCCGCAAUGUUUUUGAGAAGUAUUUUUUUUUCGGGGCGUUACAAUCUACAUCAGAAAAGCUCAUAAUGUUGCUGCUGCUAUGGCUAUUUUGCAUAGUAGGAAACAUGAUUCCCAAGCCAAUUGUACCUUUCAAGUAUCUCAUCAACCUUUUCAUUGCAUUGAGAUGAGUUUGUUGAGGAGCUUCCAUGAAUCUACUCACUAAGCCAACUCCAUAUACAAUAUCUGGUCUAGUGUUGCAUAUGUAUCUUAGUGAACUAACCAUUUGCCUAAACAAGGUGUUGUCAACAACUAGAUCUUUCAGAGAUUGGUUUGCUAAAUUUCCAACUUCAUAAAAUUUUGUAGUUGGGUUGCAAUCUAUCAUUUGAAACUUCUUUAAUAUAUCAUUGGUGUACUUGUUUUGAUGCAUAAAUGUCUCAUGCUUAGUCUUCUUGAACUUAAUGCCUAGAAAGUAUGUUAAUUCUCCAACAUCAAACAUCUCAAACUCAUUGCAUUUACUGUUUGAAGGUUGAGAUGUCAUUGGAGUUUCCACUUGUUAUUAAUAAGUCCUCCGCAUAAAGGCACACAAUGAGAAAAUCUGAUCUAUCAUUGCCUUUUACAUAAACUUCAUGUUCUGUGAUGCAUUUCAUGAAACCAAGUUGCAGCUUGUACACUCAUUCUUCUUUGCCACUUGUCUCAAAGCCUAGUGGUUGUGUCACAAACACUUCAUUCUCUAGGGGUCAAUUCAAGAAAGCAAACUUCACAUACAUUUGAUGGAUUUCUCAACUUUUGUAGCUUACUAUAGCAAUCACUAGUCUUACUGUUUCUAGCCUAGCUACAGGAGCAAAAACUUCAUCAUAGUCAAGACCAUGCUUCUGCAUAAACCCCUUUGCAACAAGUCAAACUUUAUGGUUGGAUACUUUACCAUUUGGAUUCAGCUUGGUGUUGUACACCCAUUUCAUAGAUAUGGCUUUCUUUCCUCUUGCCAAUUGGACUAGACUCCAUGUGUCAUUCAUUUAAAUUGACCUUAGCUCUUCUUCCAUUUCCCAAACCUAGUGUGAUUGCUUCUAAGCCUCUUCUAAUCUCACUAGUCCCAUCUCAGCAAGUAGUGUCAUAUGCACAAAAUCACCUACUGUUGUGAUGGUUGAAUCAGGGAACACCUCAUAGUCACUCAACCUUUAAGGUGGUUGUCUAUGCCUAUGAGAUGUUAUAGGAUUCUCAAUUGUAUUAGGCACAACAAUUGGUUAAUUUUUGUGGUCUCACCAAUGUCAUUUUCACCAACUUUUUCAAAUUGCAGUAGAGUUUCUUUACCUUUACCUGCAUCUCUAAUGCUCUAACUCCAACAUUGAUCCUCGUCAAACUUCAAAUCUUUGCUCAUCAUUAACUUUUUAUUUUUUGGAUCAAACACUCUAUAAGCACCAAUAGAGUGAUAGCCUAAGAAGAUCAGUUUUUCCCCUUGUCAUCUUGCUUCUUCCUCCUUGCUUCAGGCACAUGUUUAUAGCAGAUGCAACCAAAUACUUUGAAGUGACUCACACUUGGUAUAUGCCUUGACCAAGCUUCCUCUAGUGUGUAAUCAUUUAUCUUCUAGUUGGGCAUCUAUUGAGGAUGUAUACAGCUGUAGACACAAUUUCUCCCCAAACUUCUUAAGCAAUUCUUUUGUUUUCAUCAUGCUUCUUGUCAUGUUGAGAAUUGUUAUGUUUGCCCUUUCUAUUGUACCAUUAUAUUGUGGUUUGUAGGGUGCAAUAACUUCAUGAAUUAUCCCUUCUUUGACAACUCAUGAAACUCAGCAGACACAUACUCUCCUCCAUCAUUUGAUCUCACAUGUUUUAACUUAUUAAAUGUGGCAAGCACCUCACUUUUCCUCUUUAUUAGAUGGAUCCAUAUUUUUCUUAUAUGAUCCUUAAUAAAGGUUACUAAAUACAUGUUGCCUCCAAUGGAAUAUUCUUCAAAAGGUCCACACAUCAAUGUAUAAAUUUAUAAUGUCUUUACUGACUUUGUAGGAACAUUAGAGACAAAGGUAUUUCUGGUUUGCUUGCUAGAUAGACACUCAUCACAAAUUUGUUCAGGUGUUCAAUAUGAGGUAGGCUAGUCAUAAUUCCAUUUUUCUAAGUAGAUGUAAACUCUUAAAGUUUAGAUGUCCAUACCUUUGAUGCCACAACUAUGUGUCUUUCUCAAUUGUUGAUUGAAGACACUUCUGAUCACUAAUUUGAAUGCCAAUUUUGAAAGUUCUAUUGGCUGAGAGUGGUGCUUUUAGGAUGUUUUGGUUAUUCUUACCAAACACCUUCAAUACACCAUUCUUCAUCUCCAUGAUAUACCCUUUCUCUAUCAGUUGUCCUAGGCUGAGUAGAUUACUUCUCAUCUUAGGAACAUAUAGGACAUUGGAUAUGUAUGACUUCUUUUCAUCUUUCCUUUGAAUCAUCACCUUUCCAAUCCCUUCUGUCGAGACAGAACUGUGAUCAACAAACUUCACUUUUCUUUUGGUAGUUGCAUCAAGUGUUGUGAACCACUCAUUCUUGCAUGUCAUAUGAUUUGAACAAUCAGUAUCAAGAUACCAAAACUCAACAUCUUCUUAAGUGAUUCUUGUGGUUGCCAUCAACAGGUAGUGAUCAUCAUCAGAAUCUUCAUCCUUAGUCAGUCUAGCUUCUUCUUCCUUGCUACUCAACAACUUCUUUGACUUACAUUCUGCUGCAUAAUGCCCAUAAUUCCUACUAUUGUAGCAUUGCACCUUCCUUUUGUCAAACUUCCUCCUACCUGCUAUGUCUUUGAUUAAGCCUUUUCUAUGAUCUUGCUCAAGAUAGUUUGAUCUUUGAGAUGAAGAAUCUUGCUCAUUCUUGUUCCAUUUCUCCUUUUUCUUGCUUUUGUUCCACUACACUGAAGAUUUCUUGGAUGAUUAUGCUUCAAGAGAGCUUUGCAACUCUUCAAUAUUUUAAUCUUCAAGGUCCUUGAACUCCUCUAUUGCAACAACAAUAUGGUCAUACUUAGGAGUUAGUAUCUAAGUAUCUUCUCAAUCACAUAUUGCACUUUCACCUCUUCUCCACACGAUUUCAUUUGGUUAGUGAGUGUGAGAAUCUUGAAGUAAUCUGCUACUAUCUCAUUCUCCUCCUUUUGAAGGAGUUCAUACUUUCUCCUCAUUGUUUGAAGCUUGACUUUCUUCAUUUUUACAGCCUCUUCAUAGCUUUUCUCCAAGCUAUCUCAAGCUUCCUUUGUUGUCUUAGCACCAUCAAUUCUCUCAAAGUUGGCUUCAUCAACAUAUUGAUGGAUUAAAAACAAAGCUUUGUAAUCAUUCUUUUUGGAUUCUCUAUAGAUUGUUCUUUGAGCCUCAUUUGCAUUUUCUUCGAUCUCUUAUAUCCAUUCCGCACGAUCUCAUACACUUCUUGAAAUCCAAAGAUUGUCUUCAUUUGGAUUUUCCAUCUAUCAUAAUUCUUGAUGUCAAUAAUUGAUAGUGUCAUUGUAAACCUAUUACCAUUAGCUAUCUUAAUUUAUCAACUUUUCUCUUCUUCUACAUAGCCUAAGAUCCAUACAAAAUCUUGCUUAACUUUGCUUUUGAUACUGAUUAUAACACACUGUGUGCAAAGAGGAAAAAUGAAUUUGAGAAAGAAAUAAUGAAUAUGCCUCUUAGUAUAUUGAAUGAAUAUGAGAGAAAAAUGAUGGACUUUUACAUAGAGUGAUUAAGCACCAUUUAUAUUUUUGAGUCAACUAACUAGAUUCUAAAAAUAGCAUACCUAACUAAACUAACAAAACAGUCUGGUUAAUCGAUUAACCAUUAAUCUAUUAAAGAUUCUGGAGGGGAAAAUUUCAACAACAAUAUCAUCAAAAAGCCACUACCUAGCAUGAAUCAUGGAUUCUGCAGACAGUUGGCUCACAGAAAUAACAUCAAAUAUACUACCUACAAACUUAAUUUUUUGCAUUUUAAUUAUUCACUGAUAAAUUAUGCGUUUAUUUGUCUAGCUUUUUAGGAGCUAGAUUUUUAGCUUGGCAGGUGUGGAUGGAAAAGCCAAGUUACUAGCCUCAAGCCCUCAACUAUUACCCGGUGCCCUAAGGUUUUAUUUACUCACAAUCGACAAGCUUAACCGAUAAAAUUUCAACACUUGUGGGUUUUCAUCUCUUUUUACCUUCCACUUUGACAAACUUACAAUGCUAGAGGAUACAUGCUACACAGAUAAUAAUAUAAGUAAAAACAUUAUACUUGCUCCAUUAAUGGCUGCAAUGGCUCCUUAAAUUGUACUCCCUCUAUUUCCCAUUAUCGGUCUGGAAUUUUGUUUCUAUUUACUUAUCCAUUUUUAAAGUUCAUGAAAACAUUGAUAUCAAGUUUUUCAAUUAUGUUCAUAGUAUUAAUAGUUGCUUUUGAUUAAUGGAGUAAUAUUAAUGAUAGUUACAAUAAUGACCUUAUGUGAAUUAGUUAUAUAAAUUAAAUAUAUUGGUAUGUGUGUUUAUGUAGUAAGGAACAAAUAAUAGGGAAGGUAGGGAGUAGGAUCCUUCACAAUACUAUCAAACAAGAGAUAAAAUGACAAGCAACAACUGAUGCCUUACUUCUAACUAUUUUUGAAGUGUUUAAUAAAUAAGCAAAAAGAUCAUAAAAUAAGAGAGAAAUAUAUGAAGAAACAAGUACAAGGGAAUCCAUCAAUUCACAUAGUUCAACCUCACUGAUGGGAUAUAUGACAGUAGCAAGGAAUAAUGAAGAUAAAAAUCUGGAUAUUAUUCAUCUCUAUUCCAAAUUCUCAUUUUAUAGAUCUAAGGACAAAGAGUUAAAGGUAGGCUUCAAUCGAACAUGUUUGGGCUUUUCAAGGGUAUCUCGACCCAUAAAGUUUUUAGUUGCAGUUGAGAUCAUAAUUGUGAUUAAUAUGGGAGAAGUUAUUCAAACCAUUGUAAUGUGAAAUUUUAUGAUUACAAAUUAAUUUUAAAUUUGAUGCAGUCAAUAUGGCCAAAGCAAUUGUGACCAAAUGUGGACACAUUAUAUUAAUAUCACAUCAUAAUUGUGAUUUGACACUGUUGUGAUGAUCAUCUCAAUUAUAAUGUUGUGUCCACUAUUUAAUAAUGUGAUUUACAAUUUAAAACAAUAUUAGAGAGCAAUAAUUUACUAGUUUCAACAUCAUCUAAAUUAAGAGGAAAAUGAGUUAGAACUAGGAUUAUUAAUGAUAUCCAUGGCAAAAUUGAAUAGGAAGAGUGGAAGUGAAGAGGGAACUAAGGUAUUAAAAAUGGAUGAGAUUGUAUCUCCUCAUUCAUAUUAUAUUUUGUGUCCUAAAUCAAUUAAAAAAUACCAUUUAAUUAUAAGAAAAAUGAUAAAAAUAAAAAUUAAUAUUUUAAUAUUAUUUUGUGAAAAUUUGAUUGAAUAUAGAUAUGAUGAUAGAAAAAUUAUAGGAUUAUAAAUCUUUGUUCAUUAAAUAGAUAGAAGUAGUGAGGGCCAAACCAUAAAUGAUAUCAACUACAUUGAAACCAAACUUAGCAGGUGUCUGAUUCCUAAUUUACUAGAGAACUUCGCUUCUUCCACCAUCCAGGUGAAGCAGAACAAUGGAAGCUGAGCUUAAGCUCUAAAGUCUAAACUACGACUUAAUUCAAGGGAAUGGGUUAUGAAACGGGAUUGGGAUUACUUAUCCUAAAUAGUAUUUCAUUUCAUGUCUCAAACUAAUCAAAAUGUAAUUUUUUAUUAUUUUUUGUUUUUAAAAUUUUUCUAAAGCUAAAGAAUCAAAGUAGUAAAUGCAAAAACAUUCAAUGUGCACUAUCCAAUAACCUUACCAGCACAAUGACUUUUUAGCAGUUUAGCUGUUGAAUGAUGAAUAUCUCAAAAUCAUUUCUCAUUUCUUAUAGCAUAUGUCUCACAUGUUAUAUCAAUUAAAAAAUUAAAUAUUCAUAUGCUUUUUAUUUUUAUUUUAAUAUCAUUAGUUUGAGACAUAUUUUGAAUAAUAAAUCAUCCUUCUUGAAUGAAGGAACAAGCGUAUGUGAUCCCAAAUUAUGUCCCACUUAAUAUAAAUUAGGUAAGGAGACAUGGACAACAAGGUAAGGAUGAUGGAUAAAACCUCAGCGGAAUGUGAACAUUUUUAUUUAACAAGUAACUAAAAAUAUCAUGAGUUGCAAGUAAGCUAGGUUCUGAAAGCAAAAUUCCAUCUGUGUAUUUUUUCUCCUUGUGUGCAAAAACAUUACUUACACAUGACUGCUUAAGCUUUCCAAAUCAUGGCUCUGCCCCUAUAGUAUAAAGUACAAAUAAAAAAGCAUAGGCUUAUGAUAAACUCAUCCACAUAUAUAGCACCAAUCCUGUUCUGAGAUCAUUUCAAACUAAUUUCAUUUGCUUACACAAUCAUAUUUUAAUUCUUUCACCAAAGAAAGAAGAUUAGAAAGCAGAAACAAACUAGUAAAAUGCAUCUAACUAAAGACAACAACUACUGAGUUUCUCGAAUAAAAUGAACAAAAAAGGUCGUAACCUUGUUAUGCAUACAAGAAAACAGUCGAAAACAUGCUGCACAAGUACAAGUCAGUAAGCUGAAAGAUGAUAGACAAAGUUCUUCUCAGUAAGAAGUUGGAGGACGAGGUUGUUGAGGUCCCCAGAACACAUCAUGAGGCAAUUGACCAUUGUGUACCAAAUUUGGAGGCAAGUUAAACAUUGGCAUUGGCAUUGACAUUGAAACCUGUUCACCCAAACCUUGAGAUGCAGGAGUUCCACCAGUUCCAGUUGAACUCACUAUUGAUUGCUGAUGUUGCUGUUGUUGAUGCUGCACUUGCAUCUCCUCCUCGCCUUGCUCAUCCUCUAGUGGCAAUCUCUCAUAAGUAGCAUUAGCAAACGUAGCAGCAAUUACCAUCACAGGCCCCGACGCCACCAACGAACCCACCACGGUUCCACCAACCACUUGUCCUUGACCACCGGCUAAGUACACGGUCAGCCGUGUAGCCCCGGGAGGGGAAGGAGCAGGCAAAAACGCGCCCGAUAGAGUCAAAAUCUCAAACCUCCCAUUAAGGGUUAUAACCCCACCGGGAGCGGUCGGUUGCCCGAGAGUGACAUUGGUGACAAUGCCACUCCCGCUCAGCACCGACACGCCUCGGUGACGGCGAUUAGCAAAGGUGGCAAUUGUCUCAACCACAUCACUACCACUACUGAUUUCCAACACGUGGCUUCGCAGGGCGUUGGGACUCUCUUUGGUAAUCACAAUUGGUGGUUUGGGCUUAUUCUUUGACCCCGGUGGCCUUCCACGGGGCCUCCGGCUACUGCUGCCGGGAUUACCAUCGUCCUGAUUAACGGGGUUCUGAUCAUCGCCGCCUUCGAGACCGGUGUCUCGGCUUUCAUCAUCCUCCGUUGUGUUUGGGUUAGUAUUGCUGUUACUGCUAUUGGUUGGAGGAGAAUUGUUGAUGUUGGUGUUGGUGUUGUCCAUGAAUUCUUGCUCUCUUCUCAGCUGAAGUGAUGGAGAUGAUGAAAUUGAAUCUGUUUGUCUCAUACCACCAACAUUCCCAGCCCACCAAUUUGCCAUCUUUGAAAGAUGAAAAUUUUAUCUCUUUUUGAGAACCUUCAGAUAAAGCUCAACACCAACAGUGAACUUUGUUUUCGCUAUGCUAAAUAUUCAGAUCUCUAAUAUAGGGUGAACCCCAGAAUCCAACAUAUAAAACCCAAAACCGUAUCUCCCUUAUCUCAAACAAACCAAAAGAGGCAAAUAAUCACUUACCCUCCUGCAUGAAUUAGACACCAAAAUAUAAAAAAAGGAAAAAAUACACAUGUUUUUAUUGGGUUCUUUUGCAUGUAAACCCUGACCACAUAUAAAAUAUAAAUAUAAAUCUCAACUAAUUGGAUAGAGUCACAUCUACUAAUUAAGAUUAUGACAGAAAACCCACCUCCACAUAAAAGAAGAAUAAAAGAAAGCUCAAGAACCAAUACAAAAGUGGACACACCUUGCAGAGAUCAAGUACAAAAAGAAGCCGAACUUGAAUGCAGAGAAAACGAUUUAUACAAGAAAAAAAUAUGAAACUAUGCUUUUGCAAUUAUGUACCUUACUCGAUCUUUGCACGCUGAAAGGGUCAGAAGAAAUUGGUACGGGUCAGAAGAUAGUAAUAGAGUACAACUUCAGGGUAUAGGUCUAUAGGAAGAGGGGUCCCCCCCUAUUCUCUUUCUGUCUAGGAGCUGAUAAUACAUAGGGGUGUUCAAAUCCAGACCGGUCCAAAACAAAAACCGCAAACCGAUCCAAAGUAGACCGAAACCGCAAAAAUCGAAUGUAUUUGGAUCGUAUUGGAUUUAUUUUUUAAGGACCGAUCGGUCCGGUCCGGUCUUCGGUUUCACGUCUGGGAUCCAGACCGAUCCAGACCGGACCGAUAUUAUUAAGUUAAUUAAAAUAUAUCACAUAAGCAUUAAGCAGUAAGCUAAACACAGCAAAAACGCAUAUAAACUGUCGUAACAAUAUGAAUAUUGAUGUUUCUAAUCUUGCUAUUAAAAGAAUCAAACUUUUCUUCAUUGUUCUCGUUACUACCUUGUUGGUGUUGUAGGCUAAAAUUGAAGGAAUUUAUAUAUUUAUAUCUAAAAAAUAGACCGAUCCAAACCGGACCGAAACCGCAUAUAAUAUUUGGACCGUACAAAUACUUAUCUGGGUAUGUGAGUAGUAGUGGUCCACUAGAAACACCCUUAUGUCCCUAGAAUUUUAGGACAGUCUCAUUUUUUGCCGUUGAAUAUGAAUGAAUGACGUAUAUGUAUGUAAUUAUUACUAUGUAGGAGCAAAGUAUUGACCAGAAUUAUUGGCGGUUUUGUGGGGAGAGAGUGGUUUUGGGUUGUCACCUGGUAAGCGGUUCUUGUGUUGUGUUCAAAGUUUUCAACUUCCAAAGUAAGGACAGCCCCAUCCACUUGUUGUGUCACCUACUUCGUUGAAAUAAAGAUUGAGUUGUCUUCAUUUACCUUUACUAGCAUAUCAACUGGCACUGCCGAUUCAUCUACAUUAGUAUUUUUUUUAAUAUAUGAUGCAUAAUUUAAAUAUAAAAAUGUAAUAUAUGAAUUUAAUAGAAUAAUAGAUAGUGGACAUAUAAAUAAAAAAGUGUAUGAAAAAUUAAUGAUAUUUAAUAUAAAAAAUGAAAGUAAUUGAAGUAAUAUAUUGAAGUUUAUAGUAGUUAUUAUAAGCUUUCCUCCCACCUUAGCUCAUAUCCAAACCUGUUCUAUCUAACUUCCUUGACUGAAACUACAAUGAGAGAUAUUACAAAUGAUAAAUUUGGAAUAUAAAAAUUAUGUCAUUGGAAUGGUUAUUAUUUGUUUUGGUUUUAUUAAUAGUAGAAUUAAUAGUAUAAUAUAGAUAUAGAUUAUACAAAUUUAUAUAAUAAUGAAAUUAUAAGUUAUAAAAGUUAAAAUAUGGAAAUAUAAAAUACCCCAUGAGUAGUUAUUUUAUGUUUAUUAUUAUUAGCAUAGAUAAAUAUGAAAUAGAAGUUAUAAAAGAUAAAAUAAGAAACAUAAAAUACUACAUGGAUAGUUAUUUUAUGUAUUCCCUUUAUAUAUUAAUACUCGUGUGUACAGGCACUUCGUGCCUGCCGGUAAAUAUUGUAUGAUACUACAUAUUCAAUUUUUAUAUAUUUUAUUUUUUUGAAUUAAAAUGUAUUUGUUUUGUUCGGUGUACUUUAUAUUAUAUUUUUUAUGUUUAUGAUAAUGUUUAAUUUAAGGUGAGAUGUGUGGUUAAUUAAUGUAUUGGUGGUAGUUGCUUAGGAUUAUAUAGUUUUUUUGUAAAAAUUAAAUAAUUUUAAGGGUAAUAUAGGAAAUGAAAAUUACACCAUGAAGGAAGUUAUUUCGAGUUUUGAGUUUAUAUAUAGUAUAGAUAUUGAAUAUUACUUCCCCCUUUUAUAUAUUUUUUAUUAUAUAUUUGUUUUGUUUCUAGAAACCCAAUAUAUCUUUAUAUUUUAUUUUUCAAUUACACUAUUAUUUAUUCUUCCUAUUUUCAUUCAUAUUUUUGUCUUUCUUUUUACCCAACUUUCAAUAUAUAUUAAAUAAAUUUAGUUUUAUCAACUUUUAGAUUAUUUGUUGAUGUAUUAAACCUAGUAAAGAUUACUAACAAAAUAUUAGUCUAACAAUUUAAGGUCUCGCUCAAGCAGGUCAAACUUCAUGGGUGUACAAUAACUAUGUCGCAUAAGGCUCAUAAUUAUUGUGGCCCUAAUUUUUUUAUUCAUACAACUAAUUUUACCUCUAUAUCAUAAGUAUGUUAUUAAUUUUAAUAUUUUUAAAAUUUGUUGUUUAUCAAUUUAUGCAUAAAUUUGACAUUCAAUAUAUUAUAUUGAUAGUAAUGAUUAUUGUUUUCUAUUAUUAUAUAGUUGAUAUAUAAUUAAAAUAAGAGUUAAUUACAUUACCCCUGAGUUUUAGUGAAAUUACACAAACUACCCCUCAUUUUUCUACUUUCACACAAACCUCCCCUAGAUUCUAUACUUUCGUUACACUGAUCAACCCCGCAUGAUAAAUAAGUGUAAUAUUUUAAACAAAAAAAUGUGAUAAAUGCAAUUAUGUUAAACAAAACAUGGUAUAUUGUGAGAAAAAAUCCAAAUAAUAUACAAAUCAAUGUAUCUUUAUUAUUUUUUGUUAUAAAAUGCAUCAACAAUUCUAAAGAGAUAUUGUUUAAAUUGCUCUUAUACAAUAUCGUAAUGAACCAAAAAUAAUAAAGAGGUAUCAACUCAUAUAUUAUUUGGAUAUGUCUCCAUAAUAUAUCAUAUUUUGUUUAACUUAAUUGCUUUAUCAUAUUUUUUGUUUAAAAGAUUACACUUAUUUCUCAUGCAGUGGUGGUUAGUGUAAUGAAAGUAUAAAAAUUAGGGGGUCUGUGUAGGUGUAGAAAAGUGAGGGGUGGUUUGUGUAAUUUCGCUAAAACUCACGGGGUGACGGUGUAAUUUACUCUUAACAUAAAGGUUUAGUCUAAAGUAAAAAAAAAUAUAAGAUUGUUUAACGCUCAUUAAGAAAAAUACCCCAUAAUUUUAUAUAUUUAAGUCCUCAAUAACUAACAUAAUCGAAUCUGGAAAAAAAAUAUUAUGCUUACACAUUUUUAAGAGCCCUCCUUUAUUAAAAUUUGUUUAAAAAAUAUUACAUAAUUAAAUUAUUUAAUAUUCAAGUUUCGUAUAGUUAAAUUAGGGGUCAAAUUUUUACUUGCAUUGGGCUUACAAAAUAUGAUGAACGAUAUUGAGGUCAAUGGUUGAAUUACUGCAAACAAUAAUUGUUGAUAGAGAUAGUCAUACACCCUAAAAAGAAUUAGUUUCUGACUUAUAAAAUGAUAGAAUAUUCUUGGUAGUACUAAAAAAUCAUGUAAGUAUAUAACUUUAUACAUCAGAAGUGCUAGAAGAGAGAGUACAUUUAUUCCAUUAUUAAAUUAACAAAAUAACAAAUAAGGUAAUAAAAUAAAAUAUCUUAUCAUAUUAAGAAAUAAAUUAUCUCCUGUAACUAUUAAAAUCUUUACAUGUUUGCUAUUUUUUAAGUUUUUUUAAUCAAUUUUGUAAAAUUAAUUAAAUAAAAGAUAUAUCAUCAUUUUGAUAGUUAGAGGAUAUAAAUUAUAAAAAUUAAUUCACAAUAAAACUUUUACAACUUAAAAAUAAAUGGGAAGAAAAAUAAAUCCAUUUAUGCAAGAAUGUCACCUUACUCUUCAUUCCUUAAAUAAUCCCCCGCACACAUACAUGAAUUUACCAUUGUGCCCUUGUGCUAUAGGCUUGGUACCAUCAUAGCUUGAGAACCUAGCAAGAAUAGAGAUCGAUUAUCUCAUAUGAUAUUUAUAUUUGCUGCACCAAUGACAAAAAAAAAGCAACAAUAAUAAAAAAAAUAAUUUUUUAAUUAAAAUGACAUAUUUUCAUUGAUACGAUAGAAUAACAUAUAUCUAUUCACACAGUAGUUUGAAAGGACUCUGAGCCAGCUGUUAGAUUGACCCUUGUAGUUCACAAUAGCCGCACCAGCAUUGGGUAAGUGUCAAAGUAAGUAUCUAAGUGAAGUUAUAUGUAUUUGUUCGGACGAUACGAUAGAGACAAUGCAUCAAGUACCAUGGGAAGAGAUUGGUUCUCGAGAGUUGAGCUUCUAAGGAUAAGAUAAAUUUAUCCUAAAAAUGUUUAUCUUACGGGAUUAAUUAUUGAAAAAAUUUAUUUAAGAAACCUAUCGAAUAUGUUAUAUUUGAAAAUAAAUGAAUUUAUGUUUUUUUAUUAUUAUUUAAGACUAAAUUUUAUAUGUACUAUCAAAAUUUUAUUAGUUAUCUUUAUCCAUUUUUUCUCGUAGUAUGUAAAUACUAUUAGGCACGAGGGAUAAAAAAUAAAUAUCACUAUUAUUUAUUAUAAAACAUAAGUUUUGAAUGAUUAUUUUCAUAAAAUACUUCCUACUUUUAUAUAUUUCUGUUAUUUUUAUGUUUGUCAUCAUCCAAAAAAUUUAAUUAUCUUAAAACAUUCAAUUAAUGAAGAAUACUAAUGAUUGAAGAUUAUUCUUAAUAUUGAAGCAUAGCGGAUGAAUCCUCUACCUCUAGAAUUAUUGGUAUUUGUAUUGAAGUUUCUAACUAGAGGUUCUUGCCUUGAAUUGAUGGACAAAGCUUGGUUUUUAGGCUCAAGAGACGGGAGGAUAGGCAGGUUAAAUUGCCUUUCUUGUUGGGUUAAAAGGGAAAAGACUUUGCUAAUAUUAGGGAGGGGUUCAAGAAGCAUGAUAUGGGAUCUAACUUGAGUAUAUUGCUCAUUUAGUCCCUUUAGGAACCGAACCACAUAACUUCGUUCUCUAUAAAUCCUAACACACUGAAUCAGUCCACAAGAACAAGGAAUGGCACAUUUGUAGUUUGGAAUGGGUGUGAAGUUUUCAAUUUCUUCACAAAUGCUCUUUAGUUGGUUAUAGAAUUCUGAGAUAGAGAGAUUACCUUGAUUUAAGUGGUAUAAAUCCUCUAAUAAUUCUGCAAUUUGAAACAUAUAUCCUUGGUAGUACCUUUCUUGUAGAUCUUUCCAAGCUUCAGCAACCGAAUUGAUUUCAUAAUUGAUUCUUCCACUGAAUGUUGAAUCCAAGAUAAGACCAUGUUGUUGCAUCUUCUCCAUGGAAAGUGCAUUAAGUCUCCUGGUGCAAGUUGAGGUAAGCUUCUAUCGAUGACGUUAAGCUUAUUCUUUGAAUCGAGAGUUAAUUUCAUUACCCUGGCCCAAGAAUGAUAGUUCUUCCUGUUGAGUAAAGGAGUUACAAGGACCAAGGCAGGGUUCUCACUUGAGUGAAGAAAGUAAGGGUUAAUGUAUGGAUCGAGAAUGUUGUUUUGGUUGGCCAUUGAUGAGAAAUAGGGGAGCUUGACCGCAGAAUCAGAGAGAGGAAGAAGAGGAAGGCUUGAAGACGAAUCAGAGCAUUUUCUGCUCUGAUACCAUCUUAAUAUUGAAGCACAACAGAGGAGAAAGAGGAAGAAACUAUUGAACCUGUUCUCAUCAUAACUUGGAGAGAAGAUUUCGAGUAGGAGAAAUAAGAUAAGAAGAAUAUUGCUUUAUUGAUAUAUGAGGAAAGUUGUUAACUAAAUAAACUAACCUCUCAUAUAUAUAUAUAAUAUAAAUGGGCUGGCAAAUAAUAAAGGCCCAUCAGUAAGAAAAUAAAGAAAGCAUGCUUGAGACAAAAGAGAAGCUCAAAAGAGAUUAAAGAGAAAGAAGAAGGUGGAAGCCAUUAAUACUUGAAUGUGAAGGUACCGAAAUUUAACAAAUUAACAAUUAUAAAUAUGUGCAAUUUAAUUAAAAUUUUCUUAUAAUAAUGAAUAGAGGGAGUACUUACUAAAAAGAUAUAGCUAAUCUCGUAACUAAAAAAGAAAUCUUACAAAGGAAAUAUUAGAAAAUGAAAUGGGAAUUGAAAAUGAUAAAAAUGUUGAAUUUAGCAAAAAUAGUGUGUUGGAAAUAAAAAUAUCAUGUAAAAAAUAAAUGUAUAGUCAUGUCAAAAAGAUCUUUAAAAUUAAAUAAUAGAAGUUGUACAAUUUAUCCAUCGCAACAAAAGUUACAUACUUCAAAUUUAUAUUUUUAUAAAUUCUAUAUAAAAAAAAUACUCACAUGAUAAAUUACAUUAAACUUUUCAGAGGAAAAGUGCAACCGCAACAUGUCACACAAAUAACUACCUGGUGUAAUAUAUAUACAUUUUUACUUUAAAUAUUUAUACAUAAUCAAUUUAUUUUUUAUUAUUGAUUUAUAUUUUUAAAGAAUCGAUAAUAAUAAAAUAUGAAUAAUAAAUAAUAUGAAUAAUAAAUUAUUGAUUUAUAUUUUUUGUCAUAAUUAUAAAUUAUCAAAUUAUUAGAGGGAGGGAAAGUUAAUCCACACACUCUUACCAUCUCCACUAACAAAAGUAACACACUCUAAGAAUUUUAGAGUAGGGUGUAAUUAUAAUUCAUAUAUAAGAAAUUCAGAAUUUAUUAUCACAAAAUAAUGUGAUAUUUAUAUUUGAGAGGAUUACUCAUUUGAAAUAAGUAGUGUGUCCUUAUAGUAUUUCUAUGAUAUGGAGAAUAAUGUUAACUGCUACCAUAACCACACAAAAGUAUAUGAACGUUCACUAACUUAUAACACCGCGAAUUUUAUGAUUUUGAAUUAUAAGAUUUUAUUAAUAUUUUUAUUAAUUAUAUUUUAAAAAAUGAAUUUCUGGGAAUUUUUGGUAAAGAAUUAGACGAAACUCUAGUUGAGUUUUAGUCUUGAAAUUUUAUUUCAAAUUUGGUGGUAAAUAUUCAUGAUUUUAGGAGACAGUCGGUUUCGGACCGCUGUCGGGGCCGAAGCUCAUUCGGUAGGCUCAAAAAGUGGUUUUUGAGUACCGUAACUCGAAAUUGAAUUCCGAUCACGCCAUUAGCUUCGUAAUCACAUUUCGAGUCAAGAUAGACCCUGAGUUGGUCCAUAACUAAUUUCUAAAAUGUUUUCAUUCGGAAUGCCGAAAUUCGAAGUUCCAACCGUAAAGUAAAAUCGGACGAUCACUUUUGGCUACUCGAAUAUUGGCCGACAAUACUCGAGCAUGGUUUUAAUCGCGCGCGUUCCACCGAAGUCGUCGCGUCGCAUGAGUCACUUCAUAAAAUCUACCUACUAAAUCUUAUAGAUUUCACUCAUUAAAUGCCUUGAUUUACUACCACCAAAUCCCCUAAAUCACUCACUUAACCCAUGAUUCACUNNNNNNNNNNNNNNNNNNNNNNNNNNNNNNNNNNNNNNNNNNNNNNNNNNNNNNNNNNNNNNNNNNNNNNNNNNNNNNNNNNNNNNNNNNNNNNNNNNNNGUUUUCCAGAAAUGGAAAAAUAAAAAAACUAAAAGUCUUUGUAUUAAGUGAAAAUGGCACCAUGGUGAUUAUCCAAUGAAAAAACAUAAUUGGAGAUUAAAUUACCAGAUUAAUGACAAAAUGAAUACAAGAAUUAAGGAGGAACUUACAGACUUAACAAGCUUAGCAGCUUUGGAAAUGGUCCCAAUUCUUUUAUUGGUCUUCCAAACUCGUGGGUAUCUUGGUCUUGGACCUUUUGCAGCACAUACCUGAAAUUAGAAAAAUCAAAGUCACCCACCAUUUCAUUUCCUAGAGUUAAAAUAGUUGGUUCUAACAAAAAGUUCCAUCAUGAGAAUUUAUGAUUUGUUAGAUAUGUUAAUAAUUUUAAUUUCCAUUUGUUGUUACGUUGUUUCUCUUUAUGGGCACUAAUGUGAUAAAUAGAUUGUUGACAAUACCCAAAUACAUCAUGCAUAUUGCUGCAUAGAAAAUGAGAUUUAGAAAAUGAUAUAUGUCUUACAUGCCACUCUUUAUCAAGAGUAUUACUUAUAUUAUUACACAUUCAUAUAUUCAACAAUAGACACAUCACAAGUUAUAAUGGAAUUGUUUUUAAUUGCUCAUGUUAUAGAAAUAGAUGGCAUCUACUGAACCCGAAUUACCAACAUCACAAGAAGCAUCAACAGAAAAUACUUCUACAAGUAGUUAUAGGGGGAAAUCAGAUCCAGCUUGGGCGCAUUGCAAACAAGUGAUUGCGGAAAAUGGAAGAACGAUUCUAUUGUGUCUUUUUUGCAUGAAACAGGAUACUUGUUAACUGUUUUUCCUCUUACUAAUCUAGAUGAUCCUUGUCAAUUACUUACUAAUUUUUUCUUCUUUUUGCAUGCAAUAGAUUAAAGGGGGUGGCAUCAGUCGGUUUAAGGCUCAUUUGGCCGGAAUAAAAGGACAAGUUGAAAAGUGCAAGAAAGUGCCAGCAUAUAUUCAACACCAAAUACAGAAAUCAAUUGAUGAAAUCAAGAAUAAGAAAAGGAGAAUAAAAGAGGAAUAUGAGGAUAAUAAUCCUUCUGAUGAAGUCAAUGAAACACCUCAUACAUCUACAUCUCAAAAUGGGAAAGGUCGCAUAGGCUCUUUCUUCAUGCCUAGAACAACUUCUGGUGCUCAACCUACUUUAAAAAGUGUAUUGCAAACUAAGGAAAUGAUUGAGAAAUGUGACCUAGCCAUAUCAAAAUGGAUGAUUGAUGCUUCUGUGCCAUUCAAUGCUGUUAACUCAGCAUACUAUCAACCCAUGAUUGAUGCGAUUUGUAGCAUGAAUCCAGGUGAUAAAGCUCCAAACUUUUAUCUUGUUCGUGGUCAUUUAUUAAAUAAGUGGAUUGAAGAUGUGAAAAUACUUGUCCGGCCGGUUCAUACAUGUAAUUUUAAAGAACCCCACAUAGGCACAUACCACAUAGAAUUAGAAGAUGAUGAUGAUGCACAACUAAUAACUAUUUCAUUUUUAUUUUUUUUCAUACAUGUAAUGUUUUUUAUUGCAUUAUCAGUUUUGGUUCUAAUAACUAAUUUGUUUUAUUGUUAACUUGUAUGAAAAUUGAUGUAUGAAAAAAUGAUAUUGUUGUAGAUCAAUUAAAUUUAGAAGAUGAUGAUGAUGCACAACUCAACCCUGUGGAGAAUGUGAACCUAGUUGAAGACAACAUUAGUCAAGCUUUGGACUUAAAUGGUGAAGAAAUGGAAACUCAAUAUGAAACAACUUUGACUCCUUGGUGUUAAAGUUUUAAAUAUAUAAUAUGUUUUGUAGACUGAGUUAUGAAAUUCCGUCAUAUGUUUCGAGUUUGUUAAGUAAGACAAAUACUUGUGAAUUACUAUUUGUAUUUGUAAUUUAGACUUUGGAUUUAUUAAAGUUGUUUGUCUAUGAGAAUUCUUACUUUGACUAUAAAUAUGGAUUAUAAAUUUGAGUAUCUACAUAUUAGAUAAUUUUUGUUACAGGAUUACACUUUACACACACAUAUAUAUAUAAGCAUGUAUGUCCGGUUUAACUGGUUUAAUCUCAUGCGGUUUAAUUACUGAACUACUGGUUGAACCACUAAACCAGUACCCUCACCGGUUUGAUGACCGGUCCGGUUUUAAUAACAUUGGUUAUAAGUAGUUUGUAUAAAGCCAAAACUAUAAAUAACUAGUAUGACAUAAUUUUUCACAUUCCAAAAUUACCAUUUUAUAACUCCUCCAAUACUAAUCAUCGUAAACUUCCAAAUAUUAAUUUUAUUCUUUUUUCACAAUACAUCAUUAUUCUUCCAUGCAUUUUCUUAUUUUUAUUUUUUCUUCUUCAAUUCUAUAUUUGAUUAAUCUUCUUACAUCUUUGGUCUCUAUUAAGUUUCUAUGUAACAUUUCUUAUAUUAAAUUAUUUUUCUUUAAAUAAUGUAACACAAAAAUGAUAUAUAUCAGAAAAAUAAGAAUGUGGGUCGAUAGGCACUAAUUAUUCAUCAACAUGCUAGUGUAUUGUGAAUUGUAAAAUCUCAAAUGUUAGUGUUUGAUUUUGUGAGUAAUAUCUAUUACCAAGAUAAUCACGUAUAUUAAAAUAUGUUAAUUUUUUAUUGAUUGAGUAUUUAGGUAAGGGAUUGAAUUAUUAAGCUAUGGAUUUAUAUUCAUUGCAAAAAAAAAUUAAUUGGGAUUUUGAUGAUAGAAAAUGACAUGAAUUUAUGUAUUAUUUGUAUAUGUUUGAUAUUAGAUAUAAAUGUAUGUAUUUGUUUAUACAUGUGGAGGGUCAUAUUAUCUUUUGUUGUAUUGUGCUACUUAGAUUCCAUUUUAACGUUAUAAUCUAUCUAAACCUACAUAGUUGAUAUUUGUUAUGAAAAAUGUAGGUCAAAUAUCUUACCAUUGUUAGCAAGUGAUAUAUUAUGAUUUUGUUUCUUAUUUUGAGUCUUAAACCAUUUUUAACAAAUUAUGUAUUUUAUUUUGAAUAAAGCUCGAGAUAACUUUUGUUAUCAGCCCAAAAAAAAGACAGAGAACAAAAUUAUAGCUAUCUGCUAUAUAAACAGUAACAGCAAUAUUCAGCAGCAGAUUUAAAGAGCAAAAACUAGGCACAAUAUCACAAAUACGGAAGCUACAAUCCAAAGUCAAUUCGUGUUUGACAAAUAUUAUUGAAAUUCAUAUGCUAAAAAGAGAAUUAUAAUGAUAUAAGUGCAAGUGGCAGGCGUAAUGCCUCAUUUGACAAAUGAAAUAUUUUAACAUCCCUUAUGUUGAACUUCUUUUCAAAAGGUUUAAAAUUUUCUUUAAUAUUCAACUAACUCCAAUUUAGUAUUACUAAACUUUUAAUGUAAUUUCACACUAAAAUGUCAAGCUUUAUAUUUCAAAAAAAUGGGGUGUUAGAGUAUGUCAAUAACAGUCUCCUCAUAAACAUCUUACUCAAUAUAAUCGGUACCUUUUGCAACAGUAAACUUCGCAUGUGCGCUAUGAACCCUUCAAUCAUGUUCACAAGAGCGCUUCAAACCUCACAACCUCUCCACUUUCUCUCUAUAAGACAAAACAUGAAUAAUGGUGUGAUUUAAUAAAGUGUAGUAACAAUAUAUGUACUUUUGAUAGUGUAGAAUGUAGAUGUUCAAGUUUAGGCUUUAAAGCAUCAUGUGAAUCACUAUAAAGGAUUUAGGCAAACUUUAUAAUCACAUAAUUGAUGACUUAAAUGAACAAAUAAGUUGCUAGAGUUUUUAUAUAGCUUAUGCUUACUUGUGUUAUUCAUUUUUAUGCAGCUUUUGUUUUAUUUAGAGUCUCUAACAUACAUGACCAUUUGUAACCAUUAAAUAUUGUUUUUUUGUCAAAUUAAUCAAUUCUAACAUAUAAGUAAUUCAUUACUUAACUUCAAAAUUAGGAAUUUAAAUAUUAUAAAUAUAGGAAAUGAUUUCCCAACACUUCAAAUAAAUUACCUCAUUAUUGACAAUGAUUUUGACAUCUUUAGAAUCGACUAUCAUCAACUACAAUUACAAAAUUAUAUAAAAAUCGAAUUUUUCAUUUAAUCAUCAUUAAUCAAUUUAUAAUAAUUUGACGUUAGGACGAAUUUCCACUUGUACUUGGUCAAUUAGAAUGGAACACAUGAACCACUAAUUUUUCAAUUGGUAUAAUAAUAUGAUCUGGUGUGACCUAUUAAUUAUAUGCUUAUUUAUUAAGCAUUAUUUCACUAGUCAUAUCUCUAUUUCCUUUUAAUUUAUUUUAAAUAUAUGUUAGAUCAUAUUAUUUUAAUUAAGUUAUAUCAAAAUUAAUCAUCAUUUCUUAAACUAUAUAGAUAUUAUUAAUUUUUUUAAUUUUUUUUGGAUUGUCAAUGGUAUCUCCUCAAUGUAUAGGUAAUGAACUAAUACCUUUCAGUAUGUGGGGUUGCCUCUCCCAACAAUUAUCAUUCAAAGGGAUCAAAUCCUUGACCUUUUAGUUGUUUGGAGAUCUAGCACGUCCUUAUAUAUAUUACUAGAUCAAUACCUUAUUAUUUUUAAGGGAGUGAAUUCAUUUACUUCACACGUCUUUGUCAAUUUUAGGGAAAUCUAAUGGUUUAAAUAUACUCAAUAUUUCAAAUUAUUAGAUUUCUCUAGAAUUGAUGGCUAAGAUGUGGAGUAAAAUUUUUAAACUAAGAGUAAGUGAAUUUCUUUUUUUUUUAAUAUAAGAUAGAGUUAAAUUACACUGACACCCUAUGAGUUUCAAUGAAAUUACACAAAUCAAGUCUUUGUUUUUUACAUAUAUAAAACACCCCUAAUUUAUAUACAUACAUUACGUUCACUACCGAUGCAUGAGAAAUAAGUGUGAUAAAACAAAAAAGUGAUAAAUGUAAUUAAAUUAAAUAAAACAUGGUAUAUUGUUGAAACAAGUUCAAAUAUUAUAGGAGUCAAUACAUUUUCAUUAUUUUUUGUUCGUUAUAAUAUAGUAUAAUAGUAAUUUGAACAAUAAAUCCUUAGAAUUACUGAUGCAUUUUGUAAAAAAAAUAAUGAAAAUGUAUUGACUCGUGUACUAUUUUGACUUGUUUUCAUAAUAUAUUAUAUUUUGUUUAACAUAAUUACACUUAUCAUAAUUUUUUAUUUAAAAUAUACAUGUAUUUCUCAUGCAUGGGUAAUCAAUGUAAUGUAUAUAAAUUAUGGAUUUUUUGUAGGUGUAAAAUAUGGAGGAGUGAUUUGCUUAAUUUCACUAAAACUCAGAAGAUGUCAUUAUAAUCUAUAUCUAUAGUUAUUAUAAAGAGAAAAUAUGGUGUAACCACCACCAUUCACUAAUUUGUAAUUCAUUGUUUCCUCCUUGCUAUAUUCUAUUUUCUACAAGAACAAAAACAUAUAAUAAGUGAACUACACUAACAUCUAUGAGUUUUAGUGUAACUAUAUAUAAACCACACAGACCUUUUUAAAACUUACACAAAUCACCCAUAAUUAUAUAUAUAUAUAUAUACAUUAUAUUGACUGCCCUGUAAGAGAGAUAAGUGUAAUUUCUUAAACAAAAAAUUGUGACAAAUGUAAUUAAGUCAAACAAAACAUGGUAUAUUGUGGAAACAAGUCCACAUGGUAUAUUGUGGAAACAAGUCCAUAUGGUAUAAAAUUUGAUGUAUAUUCAUUAUGUUUUAUUCGUUACAAUCUGCAUCAAUAAGUCUAAAGAAAUGUUUAAAUUACUCUCCUACUAUAUUGUAAUUAAUCAAAAUAAUUAAUAAACAUCGACUCCUAUACUAUUUGGACUUGUCUUUACGAUAUACUAUAUUUUGUUUGACUUAAUUACACUCGUCAUCAUUUUUUAUUUAAGAAAUUACACUUACCUAUCUUACAAGGGUAGUUAGUGUAAUGCAUAUAUAAUCAAGUGUGAUUUGUGUAGGUUUUAAAAAGAACUGAGUAAUUUGUGUAAUUUCACUAAAACAUAAAAUCUAAUGCCCCUAUCUUAUGUCUAUACUUAUUGUAAAGGAAAAACAUGGUGCAACCACCCACCAUGGAGUAAUUUAUAAUUCCCUAUUUUAUACAAAAAAAACAAACAUAUAAUUUAAUUAGAGAUAACAAA
rnacentral:lncRNA from 1 species